GCAGAGAAUGAAGAAAGGACUGAACAGGAUGGUCAACUGCAGAGAAGAGGUACCCUCUCUGCUAAUAGCAGGAGAGGAGCUACCCUCCCUGUUGAUAGCAGGAGACAACAAGAGGACAGGCUGCAGAGAGGAGCUACCCUCUCUGCUGAGAGCUUCAGAGACCUGCAGAGGCGCUGGGACUAGAGGAGCAACUCUAUCCAGGGCCUUCUGUCUGCUGAGAGCAGCAGACGUCCAGACGACCAGUAGCAGAGAGGAGCUGUCCUCUCCAGGACCUCUUCUCUGCUGAGAGAGCUGAACACUCAACUGGAUGACCUGCCUACAGAGAGGAUCUACCCACUGCAGGUCUCCUCUGAGCUGUGCUAACACUUAAUAAAGCUCAUCUUUGUCUUCUUCACCCUUCAAUUGUCUGUGUACCUCAUUCUUCCCAAUGCAGGACAAGAACUUGGGCAAAGGCACCGCCAGCCAUGAAGGUUUCCAGCCAGAAAAUCGACACCCCAAAGAUCUCCAUAACAAUUCCCAGUAGUAUAUAAACAGGCAGUUUUCCCCCAACUAUUUCGAAAAAAACAUACAACCAGACUCAUACUGGUAACAUGUAAAUUAAGUGCUUAUUCAUGGGGGGGGAUAUAUGGAACAAAUUAUAGGAAACAUUUGCCACUCACAUCAC
rnacentral:lncRNA from 1 species